rnacentral:rRNA from 1 species
CGGUAAGGCCCUUUCGGGGGUACACGAGUGGCGAACGGGUGAGUAACACGUGGGUGACCUGCCCUGUACUUCGGGAUAAGCCUGGGAAACUGGGUCUAAUACCGGAUAUGACCUUCUCCUGCAUGGGGGUUGGUGGAAAGUUUUUGCGGUACAGGAUGGGCCCGCGGCCUAUCAGCUUGUUGGUGGGGUAAUGGCCUACCAAGGCGACGACGGGUAGCCGGCCUGAGAGGGCGACCGGCCACACUGGGACUGAGACACGGCCCAGACUCCUACGGGAGGCAGCAGUGGGGAAUAUUGCACAAUGGGCGAAAGCCUGAUGCAGCGACGCCGCGUGAGGGAUGACGGCCUUCGGGUUGUAAACCUCUUUCAGUAGGGACGAAGCGCAAGUGACGGUACCUACAGAAGAAGCACCGGCCAACUACGUGCCAGCAGCCGCGGUAAUACGUAGGGUGCGAGCGUUGUCCGGAUUUACUGGGCGUAAAGAGCUCGUAGGCGGUUUGUCACGUCGUCUGUGAAAACCCGAGGCUUAACCUCGGGCCUGCAGGCGAUACGGGCAGACUUGAGUACUGUAGGGGAGACUGGAAUUCCUGGUGUAGCGGUGGAAUGCGCAGAUAUCAGGAGGAACACCGGUGGCGAAGGCGGGUCUCUGGGCAGUAACUGACGCUGAGGAGCGAAAGCGUGGGUAGCGAACAGGAUUAGAU